rnacentral:rRNA from 1 species
UACGUAGGGUGCAAGCGUUAUCCGGAAUUAUUGGGCGUAAAGAGCUCGUAGGCGGUCUGUCGCGUCUGCUGUGAAAACCCGAGGCUCAACCUCGGGCCUGCAGUGGGUACGGGCAAACUAGAGUGCGGUAGGGGAGAUUGGAAUUCCUGGUGUAGCGGUGGAAUGCGCAGAUAUCAGGAGGAACACCGAUGGCGAAGGCAGAUCUCUGGGCCGUAACUGACGCUGAGGAGCGAAAGCGUGGGGAGCGAACAGG